UGGGGAAUUUUGGACAAUGGGCGAAAGCCUGAUCCAGCAAUGCCGCGUGUGUGAAGAAGGCCUUCGGGUUGUAAAGCACUUUUGUCCGGAAAGAAAUCCUUGGCUCUAAUACAGUCGGGGGGAUGACGGUACCGGAAAAAUAAGCACCGGCUAACUACGUGCCAGCAGCCGCGGUAAUACGUAGGGUGCAAGCGUUAAUCGGAAUUACUGGGCGUAAAGCGUGCGCAGGCGGUUUGCUAAGACCGAUGUGAAAUCCCCGGGCUCAACCUGGGAACUGCAUUGGUGACUGGCAGGCUAGAGUAUGGCAGAGGGGGGUAGAAUUCCACGUGUAGCAGUGAAAUGCGUAGAGAUGUGGAGGAAUACCGAUGGCGAAGGCAGGCCCCCUGGGCCAAAUACUGACGCUCAUGCACGAAAGCGUGGGGAGCAAACAGGAUUAGAUACCCUGGUAGUCCACGCCCUAAAACGAUGUCAACUAGUUGUUGGGGAUUCAUUUCCUUAGUAACGUAGCUAACGCGUGAAGUUGACCGCCUGGGGAGUACGGUCGCAAGAUUAAAACUCAAAUGAAUUGACGGGGUCAUAGCUGUUUCCU
rnacentral:rRNA from 1 species